rfam:Cicer arietinum chromosome Ca1, whole genome shotgun sequence.
AUCCCAUGGUGAGGGAAAAAUCUCAACAUCUCUUGGAAGCGCUCCCAAGCUUCAUAGAGCGAUUCUCCUUCCUUUUGAAAAAAAUUUGUGAUUUGAUUUCUCAAUUC